CCACAGCUACAACCGCUCAGAACAAGUACUAAGCACAGGAAACUGUCACUUGGGAUGGCGAGUCUAAGUAUAAUA
rfam:Enterococcus faecalis 13-SD-W-01 genomic scaffold Scaffold432, whole genome shotgun sequence.